CCCAGCACCCAAACGUUGUGACUCUCCUGCCUGGGCUGUGCCUAGAGAAAAUAUAGUAUGUCACUGGACCCUGCAUGCAAGGGAUCUGAUUCUCCAGCCUGGGCCUUGCCCAUAGGGGAGAUUGAGACAUAUUCCAGGUGGAUGGUGACUCUAAGACCAGGAUUCAACACACCUAGAAGGCUUUGACUCUGAUACCAGUCACAGAAGGCUCUGAGACUCUUCUAUUUUCUCUAGGUCAUGCAAAUGGAGGUGGACUGUGAUAUAUCAUAGGGCCAACACAACACACAGUCUACAGGUGGAAUUGGGACUCUCAUGCCUGGAUCCAGUUCAUCAUUGAUAUUGUGACUCAUGUACUUGGAUGCAACUCACAGGAGGUCAUGCAAAUGGAGGGGGAUUGUGACAUAUCAUAGGGCCAACACAAAAAUAAUGUAAAACUCCUGCCUGAGCCAUGCCCAUAGAAGGCACUGUGAC